UGACCCACACACUCCUAUUUCUCUGGGAUCCUGUUCUCUAGCCGAGACCCCUUUCGGUCUAUAUAGGGUCGGUGGACUGUCUAGGAUGGACCAGAAGCCUUGGUGUGUUGGGAAUCGGAAUCGUUUUUACUGCAAUCAUUACACUGUUGAGUCACUUGGGAGCUAGGCCGGGCUCUCGUGGUCGUCUGAAGGAAGGGGACGAAUCCAGGGCUAGUGCAGCCGGGCUGUCCAACACAACGUCUGGCAAAAUGGACACUUUCAGUUUCUUUUCUGGCCAGCUGUACUCCUUGGGAAGUUUGAACUGGAAUGAGAAACAGAAGCAGCUAAACACAGCACACACACCUGGUAGCGCUCACGCUGCUCUUUCUGGGGUCCAAGUAAAGACCAAACUGAACCAAACUACACUUGCAGUGCGCGCGCAGCGCACACACACACACCGCACACGCACACCCUCCCAGUGGAGGAGGGGGGGGCACUCAGGAGCAGAAAUGGGGAGAGGACAGAACAGCCGCUGGGACCAAGAUCUUCAACUUCAAACUCCAGAACAAAAGCAUGUGGCUGGAGUGAAGGUGCUCGCUCUUCCACCCAGCUUUUUCCUCUGCCUGGUGUGAGAAAAAAGGACACUGAACAAAGGACUGGGAGACCUGGGUUCUCAGUACUCCUGAUGUGACCUCGGCCUGACUGAUGCGGUGAUCUUGGAUGACUUACUUCCUAUCUCUGAACCAUGGUUUUCUCAUGUGCAAAAUGAAGGGGUUGAUUAUUCCAAAA